rnacentral:rRNA from 1 species
UACGUAGGGCGCAAGCGUUAUCCGGAAUUAUUGGGCGUAAAGAGCUCGUAGGCGGUUUGUCGCGUCUGCCGUGAAAAUCCGGGGCUCAACCCGGACUGCAGUGGUGACGGGCAGACUAGAGUGUGGUAGGGGAGACUGGAAUUCCUGGUGUAGCGGUGAAAUGCGCAGAUAUCAGGAGGAACACCGAUGGCGAAGGCAGGUCUCUGGGCCACUACUGACGCUGAGAAGCGAAAGCAUGGGGAGCGAACAGG